GCCGGGCGCGGUGGCGCGCGCCUGUAAUCCCAGCUACUCAGGAGGCUGAGGCAGGAGAAUCGCUUGAACCCGGGAGGCGGAGGCUGCAGUGAGUCGAGAUCGCGCCACUGCACUCCAGUCUGGGCGACAGAGCGAGACUCCGUCUCAG
ensembl:misc_RNA Metazoa_SRP Metazoan signal recognition particle RNA